CGCGUAGGCGGUUUUCUAAGUGAGAUGUGCAAUCCCCGAGCUUAACUUGGGAACUGCAUCUCAGACUGGGAGGCUAGAGUGCUGGAGAGGGUGGUAGAAUUCCACGUGUAGCGGUGAAAUGCGUAGAGAUGUGGAGGAAUACCAGUGGCGAAGGCGGCCACCUGGACAGUAACUGACGCUGAGGCGCGAAAGUGUGGGUAGCAAACAGGAUUAGAUACCCUGGUAGUCCACGCUGUAAACGAUGAGCACUUGGUGUGGUGGGAGUUGACCCCUGCCGUGCCGUAGCUAACGCGAUAAGUGUUCCGCCGUGGGGAGUACGGUCGCAAGGCUAGAA
rnacentral:rRNA from 1 species